CCAUUAUCACAUAGUUGAGAUUAUUCCAUUCCCUCAAGAUGGUUACUGGAAAUUUGGUGCAUGUAAUUAGUAUCCCUAUGCUCAAAUUCAGCUAUAAAUGGAUGAAUCUUGUAGUGUUAAAACCUGAGGCUAGGAGAAGAGAAGUGUUCCCUUAGAAGAAUAGUGUAAAAUGGCAUCACUCAAAGCUGAGAAACCUGUUGAAAAAUCUUGUUGCUCUCAACCAUCUGCAGGACAGGUGAAGAAAGAGUCUUCUGCCAAACCUAGUUCAGGCACUUCCAAAGCCCCGGUCUCGAAACCAACCCCAAAGAAAAUUCCAAGCCAGACUAGGAAGAAGGCAAGCAGCAAUAAAUAAGCUGAAGAUGCAGGAGUAAAAAGUACGAAAGACUAAAAAAUAAUAGUUGUUGCACUUGGAAUUAUGGGAAGAGUCCUAAGGAUACUGUUAUAUGGUGCUCUUCAACCAUGUUUAUAAGUAGUGCUAUUAAUGUCUGUACCACUUGCUUAUGUUAUUUUCUCGUCAUGUAACUCCAAGAUGCCUUGGCCUAAUAAAUAAAAGAUACUUAUUCUAUGA